rnacentral:sRNA from 1 species
GGGAGAAGGGACCUGGGAAGACAGAGGCCUGGGUAUUGGGGGGGCAGGGCCAUGGAAAGAGAAGAGCCUACAGCCCAGGAAUGGGUCUAAACUUCCCCUCUCAAGGCUGCCCUGCUCCCCAGGCUCAGAUCUUGCUGGACUGUGGAGAAGACAACAUCUGUGUGCCUGACCUGCAGCUGGAAGUGUUUGGGGAGCAGAACCAUGUGUACCUGGGUGACAAGAAUGCCCUGAACCUCACUUUCCAUGCCCAGAAUGUGGGUGAGGGUGGCGCCUAUGAGGCUGAGCUUCGGGUCACCGCCCCUCCAGAGGCUGAGUACUCAGGACUCGUCAGACACCCAGGGAACUUCUCCAGCC